UUAAGCGAAUAAGGGCGUACGGUGGAUGCCUAGGCACUUGAAACUGAAGAAGGACGCGACAAACGGCGAAACGCGACGGGGAGUGGUACGUACACGAAGAUCCGUUGAUAUCCGAAUGGGGAAACCCGUCAUACGUAAUAGUAUGGCAUCCAUGAGUGAAUAAAUAGCUCAUGAGAGAGGUACCCGGAGAACUGAAACAUCUAAGUACCCGGAGGAAAAGAAAACAAAAGUGAUUCCCAGAGUAGCGGCGAGCGAAAGGGGAGGAGCCCAAACCAACCUUAGGGUUGGGGUUGUAGGACCAUGAUAUGGCAAGAAUCUGGCUAAUAGAACGAUAUUGAAAGAUCGACCGCAGAGGGUGCAAGUCCCGUAUAUGAAAGCGAGAGGAAGCCUAAUGGUAUCCUGAGUACGGCGAGACACGAGAAAUCUUGUCGGAAGCAGGCGGGACCAUCCGUCAAGGCUAAAUAUAAACAAGUGACCGAUAGUGAACCAGUACCGUGAGGGAAAGGUGAAAAGAACCGCGGGAGCGGAGUGAAAUAGAACCUGAAACCGUAUGCUUACAAGAAGUCAGAGCUCGUUAAAGAGUGAUGGCGUGCCUUUUGUAGAAUGAACCGGCGAGUUAUGUUAUCGUGCGAGGUUAAGUAGAAGAUACGGAGCCGAAGCGAAAGCGAGUCUUAAUAGGGCGAAAGUACGAUGAUAUAGACCCGAAACCGUGUGAUCUAGCCAUGACCAGGUUGAAGUUCAGGUGAAACUGAAUGGAGGACCGAACCGACCCCCGUUGAAAAGUUGGCGGAUGAGUUGUGGCUAGGGGAGAAAUUCCAAUCGAACACGGAUAUAGCUGGUUCUCCCCGAAAUAGCUUUAGGGCUAGCGUCGAGGUAAAGUUACAUGGAGGUAGAGCACUGAAUGUACGAUGGCCCCAUCCCGGGGUACUGAGUAUAAUCAAACUCCGAAUGCCAUGAUAAUAUACUCGGCAGUCAGACUGUGGGUGAUAAGGUCCAUGGUCAAAAGGGAAACAGCCCAGACCGCCAGUUAAGGUCCCAAAAUGUAUGCUAAGUGGAAAAGGAUGUGGGGAUGCACAGACAACUAGGAGGUUGGCUCAGAAGCAGCCACCCUUCAAAGAGUGCGUAACAGCUCACUAGUCGAGUGACCCUGCGCCGAAAAUGUACCGGGGCUAAGCAUACUACCGAAGCUGCGGAUUUGUAGAGAUACAAGUGGUAGGGGAGCGUUGCAUGCACGUGGAAGCCAUAUCGUGAGGAGUGGUGGAGAGCAUGGAAGUGAGAAUGCCGGUGUGAGUAGCGAGAUGUAGGUGAGAAUCCUACACACCGAUAGCCCAAGGAUUCCAGGGGAAGGUUCGUCCGCCCUGGGUAAGUCGGGACCUAACGCGAGGCCGAAAGGCGUAGUGGAUGGAAAACAGGCAGAUAUUCCUGUACCCGCGAUGGGAAGUGAAGGAAUGACGGAGAAGGCUAGCAUGACCCACUGAAUGGAUUGUGGGCGAAGCGGAGCAGCAGGUAUGUAGUGAAAUGCGCAUACGAAAUGCAGGACGUGAUAGGUAAGUGAACGUUUCGACAAGUAACGAAGCAUGUGAGGCCAGCUUCCAAGAAAAGUUUCUAAGCGAUUAAUCCCAUAGCGGCCCGUACCAAAACCGACACAGGUGGGCAAGGAGAGGAUCCUGAGGUGAGCGAGAGAACUGUUGCCAAGGAACUCGGCAAAAUGACUCCGUAAGUUAGCGAUAAGGAGUGCUUAUGUAAAAGUAAGCCGCAGUGAAGAGGCCCAAGCGACUGUUUAACUAAAACACAGCUCUCUGCGAAGUCGCAAGACGAAGUAUAGGGGGUGACGCCUGCCCGGUGCUGGAAGGUUAAGAGGAUUUGUCAGUCGCAAGAUGAAGCAAUGAAUUGAAGCCCCAGUGAACGGCGGCCGUAACUAUAACGGUCCUAAGGUAGCGAAAUUCCUUGUCAGGUAAGUUCUGACCCGCACGAAAGGCGUAACGAUUUGGGCGCUGUCUCGGCAGCAGACUCGGUGAAAUCUUAGUACCUGUGAAAAUGCAGGUUACCCGCAACUAGACGGAAAGACCCCAUGGAGCUUUACUGUAGCUUGAUAUUGAGCUUUGAUCAGAGAUGUACAGGAUAGGUGGGAGACGAAGAGACGUGCACGCCAGUGUACGAGGAGUCGACGUUGGGAUACCACUCUUGUCUGAUUGAAGUUCUAACCUACACCCAUGAACUGGGUGAGGGACCGUGUCAGGCAGGCAGUUUGACUGGGGCGGUCGCCUCCUAAAGAGUAACGGAGGCGCCCAAAGGUACGCUCA
rnacentral:rRNA from 1 species